AUUGAACGCUGGCGGCAUGCCUUACACAUGCAAGUCGAACGGCAGCACGGGGAGGGGCAACUCUCCCUGGUGGCGAGUGGCGAACGGGUGAGUAAUGCAUCGGAACGUGCCCAGUAGUGGGGGAUAACCAGUCGAAAGACUGGCUAAUACCGCAUACGACCUACGGGUGAAAGCGGGGGACCGUAAGGCCUCGCGCUAUUGGAGCGGCCGAUGUCUGAUUAGCUAGUUGGCGGGGUAAGAGCCCACCAAGGCGACGAUCAGUAGCUGGUCUGAGAGGACGACCAGCCACACUGGGACUGAGACACGGCCCAGACUCCUACGGGAGGCUG
rnacentral:rRNA from 1 species